rnacentral:rRNA from 1 species
GAUGAACGCUGGCGGCGUGCCUAAUACAUGCAAGUCGAACGCAUAGCGAAAGGUGCUUGCACCUUUCAAGUGAGUGGCGAACGGGUGAGUAACACGUGGACAACCUGCCUCAAGGCUGGGGAUAACAUUUGGAAACAGAUGCUAAUACCGAAUAAAACUUAGUGUCGCAUGACACAAAGUUAAAAGGCGCUUCGGCGUCACCUAGAGAUGGAUCCGCGGUGCAUUAGUUAGUUGGUGGGGUAAAGGCCUACCAAGACAAUGAUGCAUAGCCGAGUUGAGGGACUGAUCGGCCACAUUGGGACUGAGACACGGCCCAAACUCCUACGGGAGGCUGCAGUAGGGAAUCUUCCACAAUGGGCGAAAGCCUGAUGGAGCAACGCCGCGUGUGUGAUGAAGGCUUUCGGGUCGUAAAGCACUGUUGUAUGGGAAGAACAGCUAGAAUAGGAAAUGAUUUUAGUUUGACGGUACCAUACCAGAAAGGGACGGCUAAAUACGUG